GGCAAAAGGUUGUUGAAUGCUGGCUCUCUCUGAAUGCCCCCAAAAUAACCCGUGCAGAAGGCCAGGCUCAGUUCAGUGCUUAUCAAGAUUUUAUUCGGAAGUCAUCUCUACAUCCAACCCGGGGCUCGAACUCACAACCCUGAGAUCAAGAAUCGCUUGCUCCACCAAAUGAGCCCGCCAGUCCCCAGCCUGAGGAACCCCGGAAAAACAGAAGAGGUCUCAAAAGAAGGCCAAAGAAAGAAUCUUUGCGGGAAACAAUUCUCUUUUUGCUAGAAAGCAUUAAAGUAACUCUUCACUGUGCGUCAAUAGACAAGAUGUACAGAGCAUUAGCUUGAGAACUGAACUCAGGGACGGAUCCUCAAAUUGCACAACAGGGUAUCAUAUACCGUUUCCUGUGUGGGGAUGGCGGAGAUCCCUAGGUGAGUUCUACUUUUGAGCUGAGUCAUAGCACCAGAAAAUUGUCAAAUAAAAAACAAACCUGGACUUAGGGAAAGGAGAGACUUCAUUAAAAAAAAAAAAAAAAAUUAUU